rnacentral:misc_RNA from 1 species
AUCAUGUUUUGUAAUGCAUGAUCUUAUUAGUGAUUUUGCUCAAUUGGUAUCCAAAGAAUUUUGCUUCAGAUUAGAGGAUGGUAUUUCUCAUAUGCCUGAAAAAAUUCUCCAUGCCUCUUACACUAGAGGCAACAAUGAUCCAUCCGACAAAUUCAAGCUCAUUCUUACAGCCAACCGCUUGAGGACAUUUCUUAUGAUUGAUUCGCCAUGGGAUCAUAAAUCUUGUCAUCUAAGUAAAGAAAACUUGCACGAUUUGUUUUCGGGGUUAACACACUUGCGAGUGUUCUCUUUGGCCUUCUAUGGUUUCACUAAAGUGCCUGAUUCGAUAGGCAAGUUGAAACACCUACGCUACCUAGACCUCUCUCACACCGCACUAGAAAUUUUACCUGAAUCAGUAAGCUCCCUUUACAAUUUGCAAACAUUGGAUUUGUCCUACUGCCAUUCCCUCAGCAAAUUGCCGCAAGGCAUGGCGCAGCUUGUUAACUUGCGUCACCUUCUCAUUACUAAAACUAAUGUGCAAUGUAUGCCAUUAGGAAUGAGUAGAUUAACGAAUCUUCAGACCCUGUCUAACUUUAUUGUGGGCGAAUGUGGCUCCAAAGUUAAUGAGUUGUCAGGGCUUUCUGAUAUUCGCGGAACACUAUCCAUUUCUAAGUUGCACAACUUAGAUCCUGAUAGUGAUCCUUUGGAUGCCAAAUUGACAGCAAUGAGAUAUCUUGAUGAGCUAGAAUUGGAAUGGAACUGGGAGAGUGGAGAUCCAAAGAAAGACGAAAAAGUACUUGAAAACCUUGAGCCUCCCCAAACGUUGAAAAGACUGGUCAUUAAAUCUUAUGGUGGCACAGGAUUUCCAUGGUGGUUGGGAAAUUCUUCUUUUGCAGACUUAGUGUUUCUAUCUC